rnacentral:rRNA from 1 species
CAGUCGCCGCGGGAAUACGUAGGGCGCAAGCGUUAUCCGGAAUUAUUGGGCGUAAAGAGCUCGUAGGCGGUUUGUCGCGUCUGCCGUGAAAGUCCGGGGCUCAACCCCGGAUCUGCGGUGGGUACGGGCAGACUAGAGUGAUGUAGGGGAGACUGGAAUUCCUGGUGUAGCGGUGAAAUGCGCAGAUAUCAGGAGGAACACCGAUGGCGAAGGCAGGUCUCUGGGCAUUAACUGACGCUGAGGAGCGAAAGCAUCGGGAGCGAACAGGAUUAGAUACCCCUGUAGUCCCUGUCUCUUAUAC